CUCCUACGGGAGACAGCAUGGGGAAUAUUGCACAAUGGGCGCAAGCCUGAUGCAGCGACGCCGCGUGGGGGAUGACGGCCUUCGGGUUGUAAACCUCUUUCACCAUUGGCGAAGUCGGAGGGUUUCCUUCCGGUGACGGUAGGUGGAGAAGAAGCACCGGCCAACUACGUGCCAGCAGCCGCGGUAAUUC
rnacentral:rRNA from 1 species